GACGAACGCUGGCGGCGUGCUUAACACAUGCAAGUCGAACGGAAAGGCCCUGCUUUUGUGGGGUGCUCGAGUGGCGAACGGGUGAGUAACACGUGAGUAACCUGCCCUUGACUUUGGGAUAACUUCAGGAAACUGGGGCUAAUACCGGAUAGGAGCUCCUGCUGCAUGGUGGGGGUUGGAAAGUUUCGGCGGUUGGGGAUGGACUCGCGGCUUAUCAGCUUGUUGGUGGGGUAGUGGCUUACCAAGGCUUUGACGGGUAGCCGGCCUGAGAGGGUGACCGGGCAAGAUGGGGGAGAAGAAGCGGCCUGGGCGGCUGGGGGAGGCAGCAGGGGGGAGUGUUGGAAGAGGGGCGGCGGCUUGACGCCGGAACGCCGCUGGGGGGAUGAGGGCUUGCGGGUGUUAGCCCGUGUACGCCUGUGUAAAAGGGUGAGGGGGGGGAGGGGGAAAAGAGAAAGGCACAAGCCCGCAC
rnacentral:rRNA from 1 species